rnacentral:rRNA from 1 species
CCUACGGGGGGCAGCAGUAGGGAAUUUUCGGCAAUGGGGGGAACCCUGACCGAGCAACGCCGCGUGAACGAAGAAGUUAUUCGUAAUGUAAAGUUCUUUUAACAGGGAAGAAAGAGAAAUUUGACGGUACCUGAAGAAUAAGCUCCGGCUAACUACGUGCUAGCAGCCGCGGUAAUACGUAGGGGGCGAGCGUUAUACGGAAUUAUUGGGCGAAAAGGGUGCGUAGAUGGCAUAGUAAGUCUUUUGUAAAAAUGCUGGGCUCAACCCAGUAGGGCAAAAGAUACUGCAAAGCUAGAGUAUGACAGAGGCAAGUGGAACUACAUGUGUAGCGGUAAAAUGCGUAAAUAUAUGUAAGAACACCAGUGGCGAAGGCGGCUUGCUGGGUCGAUACUGACAUUGAGGCACGAAAGCGUGGGGAGCAAACAGGAUUAGAUACCCCAGUAGUC